rnacentral:rRNA from 1 species
UACAGAGGUCUCAAGCGUUGUUCGGACUCAUUGGGCGUAAAGGGUGUGUAGGUGGCGCCGUAAGUCGGGUGUGAAAUUUCGGAGCUUAACUCCGAAACUGCAUUCGAUACUGCGGUGCUUGAGGACUGGAGAGGAGACUGGAAUUCAUGGUGUAGCAGUGAAAUGCGUAGAUAUCGUAAGGAAGACCAGUGGCGAAGGCGGGUCUCUGGACAGUUCCUGACGCUGAGGCACGAAGGCCAGGGGAGCAAACGGG